rnacentral:lncRNA from 10 species
CCCCUGCGCCGCCGCUGCCAACCCGGAAGGAGCCCGGAGGGGCCCGGGCGGCCAGGGCGCCCCCGCCAGGAGGCCCGCCAGGUGUCCACCUGAGCCCCACGCCCUGCGCCGCGGGGCCCUUUUGGGGGCGGGGUGCCAGCUCCGAGGUGUCCUCCCACGGGCUGUAGACUGGGAAACUGAGGCCCGGGCCACGGUCCCAGACGCAGCCGGGACCCGAACCCACCUCACCUGAGCGAAUGAUAUCCGGGACUCAUCCUUUUUCGACACCUUUGCGGGAUCCAGCCCUCCAAGGAAAGCUUCCUGAGCAGUGCGCGCCACGUGUAUUGGGCACCUCACCGCGGCCACUUCACAUCCUAUCUCAGGUGACUCUUCAAGCCACUCUGCUCGAACUGGGCACAAUAUCCCCAUUUUACAGAAGAGAAAACUGAGGCCCAGGCACUCGCAGUCUCCCUAGGAGGAGAUCUGGGCUGACCCCAUAAGUGCAGAGUCUGUUCUUAUUCUCAUUUUACAGGUGGAGAAACUAAGCCACAGAAAGGAGCUGUCAUUUACCUAAAGCACCGUGGCAGGGGUUUGGCAGAGCCAGGAUUUGUACCCAGAUCGCCUGACUUCGGAGAGUAACAGCUCUUAACCACAGCACUUCGGUCUAUGCCUUGAUUUCACCAUAUGUAACAAGUGGUCUUCACCAUCCACGGAGAAGGGAAAGCAACAGAAGCUGAGAGCCAAGCAUGGGGCCUGGAGGUCGGACAGACUUGUGCCACCCAUUGGCUUGAGCAGGGACCCCAUCUCUCUCAACCCCAGUCUCUUCACCUGUACGCUGGAGCUAAUAAUGACGGUGGCUGCCUGAUCGAGCAGGUGAUGAUUCAAUGGCGCAAUGUACAACAUACAGCCGGCACCAGGCACAUUGUAAGUAAAUGGCCCUGUUUCCAUCAGAAAGGAGAACAGCUGCCUGGACUGAAUAUGCAACAGGACACCCGGAAUGUGUUUUUUGGAUGCAUCAGCUCACUUUCUAGCCACUGGCCUCUUCUAGAAGUUGCACACAGAUAAAAGGUCCCAGUUAAUGAGGAUUCUGGUUAAAGUUUUAAAAUUCACAGCAAGCCCACUCCGCAUAAUAAUGUAUCAGAAACACAACAAUCCUUUAAUCUAGAAGGAAUUAAUUGCUGGGCCCAGAAAUUCAGGGCACGCUGACAGAAUCCUUAAUUUCUCGAGCUGAUGGUUUCAAAAAGCGACUGAUUUUAGACUGGCUUCU